UGCGGCCAUAUCACGAUGUAAUACUGGUUCUCGUCUGAUAACCAGAGUUAAACAAAGCCGAACCAGGUCAGUACUCACAUGGUGUACCGCUUGGGAAUACCAGAUGCUGCAAG